GAUGAACGCUGGCGGCAUGCCUAACACAUGCAAGUCGAUCGGUAAGGCUCUUCGGAGUACACGAGAGGCGGACGGCUGAGUAACGCGUAGGAACACACCCUGCAGUGAGGGGUAAGACACCGAAAGGUGUUCUAAUACCGCAUACGGUCUUCGGAUUAAAGCAUUUAUGCGCUGAAGGAGUGGCCUGCGUCAUAUUAGAUAGUUGGUGAGGUAAUGGCUCACCAAGUCGAUGAUGUGUAGCUGGUCUGAGAGGAUGAUCAGCCAGACUGGAACUGAGACACGGUCCAGACUCCUACGGGAGGCAGCAGUGAGGAAUAUUUCACAAUGAGCGAAAGCUUGAUGGAGCAAUGCCGCGUGCAGGAUGAAGGCCCUCGGGUUGUAAACUGCUUUUAUAAGAGAAGAUUAUGACGGUAACUUAUGAAUAAGGGACGGCUAACUACGUG
rnacentral:rRNA from 1 species